CAGCCGCCGCGGUAAUACGGAGGGGGCUAGCGUUGUUCGGAAUUACUGGGCGUAAAGCGCACGUAGGCGGCUUGGUAAGUUAGAGGUGAAAGCCCGGAGCUCAACUCCGGAAUUGCCUUUAAGACUGCCGAGCUAGUAGGUGAGAGAGGUAAGUGGAAUUCCGAGUGUAGAGGUGAAAUUCGUAGAUAUUCGGAAGAACACCAGUGGCGAAGGCGACACACUGGCUCACUACUGACGCUGAGGCGCGAAAGCGUGGGGAGCAAACAGGAUUAGAUACCCCCGUAGUCCCUGUCUCUUAUAC
rnacentral:rRNA from 1 species